GCCGGGAUAGCUCAGCUGGGAGAGCAACAGACUGAAGUGGGCCAAAUAGUGCCAUCCGUUUUCUGGAGGUCCCGUGUUCAAUCCACGGUCCUGGCA